CAGCAGCCGCGGUAAUACGUAGGGGGCGAGCGUUGUCCGAAGUUACUGGGCGUAAAGCGCGCGUAGGCGGUUUUUUAAGUCUGGGGUGAAAGGUUCACGGCUCAACCGGAACAGUGCCUUGGAUACUGGGAGACUUGAAUCUGGCAGAGGAUAGUGGAAUUCCUGGUGUAGCGGUGAAAUGCGUAGAUAUCAGGAGGAACACCGAUGGCGAAGGCAGCUAUCUGGGCUAAGAUUGACGCUGAGGUGCGAAAGCGUGGGGAGCGAACGGGAUUAGAUACCCCCGUAGUCCCUGUCUCUUAUA
rnacentral:rRNA from 1 species